ensembl:lncRNA
GUGGGGGUGGGGUUGAGUGGGAGGGAUUGGUGUGUGCUACUCCUGAGAUUUCAAGGUGUCUUUCAAACUAAAUCUCUUACCUGUAUUAAAAGCAAACAACUGACGGCAACAACAGAAACUGCUUAUGUCAGUAUAUAUAAAGAAAGAAAGUUCUAUUCACAAGUCUCAAAAAAGGAAAUUGCGGGGCAUAUUUUGCCUUUUUUCAUACUUUGAAAUCUGCAGAAUUUCCUAUUCCCUUGCUCCCCAAAAUACCAUUCUUGUGUUGAACUAGGAUGGAAUACUAUAUUAAAGAUUUGGUCAGCCAACCACAAAGCUGCAGACCACCCCUCUUAAAAUCAAUACCAUUCAUUUUCACCACCAAAUUAUUAAGAAACAAAUAGAAAAUAUAUCGUUGGUGGAUUUGGAAAUCCAAAUGGCUUCUAUUUCUAACUGCGAGCUCCUGCCCUUUGGCUCUAGGAAAUUGGAGAAUUGGGCUUCUCCCCACUAGGGGUGGAAGAAUAAAGAGUAAGCGUUAUUAGAGCUCAGAAACUCAAAGAGCCCCUGAAAGCUUGGCAUUUCAACAUCUGAGGAACUCAGUCUAGUAUGAGACACUUGGGUCUUCCUGUCCACAAAAGGCAAAGAUAUGAGUUCAGUGGUCCAUACAUUUAUGGUGGGGAGAAGGGCUUGAACACAGAUUUUAGAGGCUUCCUCCAAAGUGGCUCAUGAAGGAUAUGAGAGUCUCCUUUGUUUUGCCCCAAGUGGAGGGUAAGAAACAUUUUUUCCAUUCAACUCCUGUGGAAUUUCUGUUUAUCUGAAAGAAAGGUAAUUGUACAGUCACAUGUCUGUAAUGACCAAAUGAAGAAUCAGGUCAAAAUAUUAGGAGCCAUGUUCAGUGUAAUAAUUGCUGGAGAAACAGAUGAACACAUGAAAAACAACAAAAGUAAAUCUGAAUAUAACAUACAUGAUUCUAAAAGCAUGAUUUUUUGAUUAAUAAAGUGAGUUAAAGGAAAGGCUGUGGUAGUGGCCCAGAAGAUCAAAGGCAACUAAUAGCUCAAUAAAAAAAAAGAUCAGGAAUUAAUCUAGCAAAAAUGUGUAAGACCUUUAUGGAAAAAAUGUUAAUCUUUAUUUAAGGACAUAAAAGAAGUCUAAAUGAGAUUCAUGCUAUGUCAUGGUUGGGAAGGCUUUAGCAUAACUUCUCAACCUUGCCAAAUUAAUUUGGAAAAUCAAUACAACUUCAAGUGAAAUUACAACAUGAUUUUUUUUCCCCACACAGCUCCCCUCCCCUCCUUCCUAGUAAUGCCAUGUAUUUGUGUUGAUCAGCGAUGGAAUACUAAAUAAAAGAUUUGGCCAAUCAACCACAAAACUGAAAAAAAAAAAAAUAGCUCCCGUUCACUACCAACAAAUUAUUAAGAAACAGAUUUUUUUAAAAAGCGCUAAUGGGAGACUUAACUAAUCCUAAAACUUACAUGUUUGAAUAAAGAGAAAAGCAAAACAAGCAAAACAAUUCUGAAAAAAAAAAAAAUUAGAACUUACUCUAUCAGAUACCAAGACUUACUGGAAAAUUCUAGUAAUUUAAGCUGUGUGACAUCUUUGGACAAAUAUAAGACAGAUCAGUAGACCAAAAUAGCCUAGAACAGGCCAAGCUGUAUGUGAAAAUAUAUGAUAGCUCUAAAAGUUGGUGAAAGGAUGGACUUUUUAAAAAUGGCUUUCUUUGCAAAAAGAUAAAAGAUUCUCUUAACAGCAUACACAAAAAUAUACAUGGUUUGAAGAUAUAAAUGUGAUAUGAAGAGGAAAAAACACUUGAAGAAAUAAAUCACACUGAGGUAGAGAGUUUCUUUAAGAUAAAAAGCACAAACCUAGGAGGAAAAUGUUGAUAACAGUUUUCCACAUUAAUAUUUUUUGUAAUAAAAGUCACUGAUAAAAUGAAAUAUUAAACCAUAGAUUGGAAGAAUUGAUUUGCAUUGAAAUAAUUUGGAAAAGAGUACUUAGAAAAUGAAAAAAAAGUGGGCAAAAGAACUUAACCUUUCUGAUAGAUGUGUAAAUUGACACAAUCACUUUGGAAAUGAUUUUGGCAAUGCCUAGUACAGUUGGAGAAUACAUAUCUACGACCCAGAAAAUCUGCUUCAAAGAGAGGACCUAGAGAAAUUUGCACAUGUACACAAGGAGAUAUGUACAGGAUUGGUUUUUACAACCCUUGAAUGUUAAAAAGGUAGAAAGCCUACUGGAGAGGAUCAACGGAGAGUCACAGUGAAGUUCAACAUAGAAGCUAAUGUGAAUCAACCAGAUCCACAAGUAUCAACAGAAGUUAAUGACUGCAAUAUGAGGAAACACAUAGCAUGGGUGCAAGGCCUGGCUGACAGCCACAUAAGAGAGCUUAGAAGCAGAUCCUUCAGUCCCAAGCAAACCUUCAGGCAAAUUACCGCUGAGCCACCAGGGAAGGCAUAGACCCAGCCAAGAUGUAGACUGCAACCUCAUGAGAGAACUGAGUGAAAAUGACUCCGCUAAGCUGCUUCUGAGUUCCUGACUCUCAGAAACUGUCUAAGCAAAAGCUAUGGUCCUGUCUUCAUGGUGUGAUGAGCUCAGAGGAUGAUGUGGAAUGAUAUACAUGAAGAGAUUCAUGGUCAAGAAAACUCCUGAAGUCCAAACUUGAGGCCAGGGGCUGGAAAUGAAGCAGAUGGCACCAGACAGGAGCUCUCUCUGGGUAAGUGGGGGCUGCAGCCGAGAGUGGCAGCAUAUGGGCCUUGAGUGGGUUGGGGGCUCUACUUGCAUCUGUGGUGAAGUUGGUUAAUGCAGCAGGUGCAGCCACCCCAGCAGCCUGUGAAACUUUGGCAGAAAAGACUAAACACCUGUUUUUGAGCUUCUCAAGUUAUCAGCUUGGGAUCCAAGAUGAAGUGCUAUGGAUGUGGGGAAGCUUAAUAGAGAUUGUUGCUGCAGCUGUAGACAAGCAUCCCUCUGGCUUUAUGAAACAAAUGCUAGAGUACGUGAGGUGGUGGUGGGAGAGUAGGCAUUGUGGGAUGAUCAUGUUUUCCUGCAUAUGUUUGUGGAAACAAGAUGGAUCCCUUCAAACUGAGCGAUCCCCUGGUGUUCUUGGACAUUUGGGCAUGGUGGGGGCUAAUGUGGGGGAGAGACUAGAUUUCUUAAAGCUCUCGAGGCAGAAAUCUUGAAUUUCUUCUUUCCUUUGCCCUACUUCCAAUCUGUCAAUAAGCCCUAAUGGUUCUACCUGUAAAAUCAUCAGCAUCUCUUUACUUCUGCUUCUGUGAUGCUAGAGACCGCUGGCAUUGCUUUCUUGGUUUACUAAGCUCCUGACUGCUGUUUCAGCUCUCUUUCCUAUAUUAUUCACCGUCUAUACAGAGUUAAACUUCUAAAAAUAAAGAUCAAGCUUGUCAUUUCCCUAUUAAAAUGCACCAGUGACUUAACAUCCUGCUGGUUAUAAAAUCAAAUCUCCUUACAUUUGCCUAUAAGAACCUAAAGAUCUGAUCUCCUCUCCAGUCCCUUCUCUUAAACCAUUAUUCCCCUUGCUCUCUGCACCGGAGCCACAUGACAUUUUGUUUCAGGAAUGGGAAAGUUCAUUUCCACCUCAGAACCUGGGCACCAGCUGUUUCCUUUGCCUACGUUGAACUUCUGGCUCCUCAGUGUCUAUGUCCAGUAACAGAGAGCCUUUCUUGGACACCCAACUAAAAGUAGCCCCAUUUCCAUCAUUCUGAUAUUUUCACAUUAGCAUUUGGAACCACCUAAUAGUUUAUUAAUUAUUUUUACCUACCUAUAUAUCAUCUCUCUAAUUUAAGCUAGCUACUGCUGCUGCUGCUGCUAAGUCGCUUCAGUCAUGUCCGUCUCUGUGUGACCCCAUAGAUGGCAGCCCACCAGGCUCCCCCAUCGCUGGGAUUCUCUAGGCAAGAACACUGGAGUGGGUUGCCAUUAUGGGGCAGAUGAAUUAAUAUUUGAAUAGUGGCUAGCUAUGAACUAAUUCACUAAGCAUUUCUGCAAGUGUUAGACUGCAAUACACGGGAGUGAGGAUUUUGAAUGGAUCCUCAGAUCCUGAAACAGUGCUCAGUACAUAGUAGUCAUUCAAUAAAUAUUUGUUGAAUAAAUGGAACAGCCGAAGUGAGUAAUUGAAAAAAUUAAAGAUGAUAGACUCAUGUUUAUUCCCUGAGCAUAUGAAAUGCAUCUUACCUGUCACGCAUACUUAAAAUGUUUUAGUGUUUCCCAGGAAACACUAGUUUCCUGGGAGACUAGUGUUUCCCAGGUAAUGUGCAAAGUGCUCUUCUAGUGCCUCUUUUAAUACUUACAGCAGCCAUCUGAGUUACACACUAUAUUAUUUCCACUUUAUAGAUGGGGAAACUGAGGCUUAAAGAGAUUAAAUGAAAGUGAAAGUGAAGUCGCUCAGUAGUGUCCCGACUCUUUAUGACCCCAUGGACUAUAGCCUACCAGGCUCCUCAGUCCAUGGGAUUUUCCAGGCAAGAAUACUGGAGUGGGUUGCCAUUUCCUUCUCCAGGGGAUCUUCACGAUCAAGG